rnacentral:lncRNA from 1 species
ACCAGAACACGAUAGCCUCGUAGCCAGACUAACCGAACGCAUACUCUCGUACCCGGGUUGCCCGGUCGACCAGCGCCAUUUUGUACUGGGCUGCCAAAGUGUGUUCGCCGGCGACCGGUAGGCAUGGCAAGCGCCAGCUCUAGGACUCCAAAGUGCGGAAAUGUGCCCGUUCAUGCGGAUCCAAAGCACAAGAAGUCAUCUGGGCAUCAUUGCGUCGUGUUUGGAUGCCAAAACAACCAGCGCAAAAGGAGCAGGUUGCUUAGCGCUGUUUGCGAAGAGCACAACACACGUAGGGAAUCGUGCCGGUGCGGUGUUUUCAGCCUGCAUCGAUUUCCACCCGCAACGAAGAAUGCCAAGCUGCGCCACCGGUGGAUAGCUGCAGUGAAUAGGAAGAACUACCAACCCAGUGAAAAUGCACGAGUUUGCUCCGAGCACUUUCUGGACAACAAGCCUACACAGCAGAAUCCCGUGCCGGUGCUUCGCCUUGGCUAUAACAAAAAGGCAAGCCUUUUCGUGUUUUCAUUCAUGCAGAGCUCCUGACGAUUAAACGGAACAGUUGAGUUUGCGGUUAGCGAUACUUGCAGCUGGUGCACGGCAUGACCAUUAAGCGUGAACGACAAGUUGUAGGCAAUAGAAUGUUGCCCUGCUGGUGAGCGUUAUUGCUAUGAAAGUAAACCGAAGUCUGCUCGUCACGUAGCAUGCGUCCACAAAA